rnacentral:rRNA from 1 species
CAAACGCUGGCGGCGUGCCUAACACAUGCAAGUCGUACGAGAAAGUCGGCUUCGGCCGAUGAGUACAGUGGCGCACGGGUGAGUAGCGCGUGGGUAAUCUGCCCCUCGGUCAGGAAUAACCCGCCGAAAGGCGGGCUAAUACCCGAUAACACUGACGCUCCGCGGAGCGUCUUUCAAAGAAGGCCUCUGUUUACAAGCUUUCGCCGGAGGAUGAGCCCGCGUACCAUUAGCUAGUUGGCAGGGUAAUGGCCUACCAAGGCUACGAUGGUUAGCUGGUCUGAGAGGAUGGCCAGCCACACUGGAACUGAGACACGGUCCAGACUCCUACGGGAGGCAGCAGUGAGGAAUCUUGCGCAAUGGGGGAAACCCUGACGCAGCAACGCCGCGUGAGUGAGGAAGGCCUUCGGGUCGUAAAGCUCUGUCAGAUGGGAAGAAAUGGAUGGGGGCUAAUAUCGCCCAUCCUUGACGGUACCAUCAGAGGAAGCACCGGCUAACUCCGUG